CACGCAGGCGGUCAUACAAGUCAGCUGUUAAAUGCAUGGGCUUAACCGAUGCAUGCGGUUGAAACUGUAUGGCUAGAGUACUGGAGAGGUAAGCGGAAUUCCCGGUGUAGCGGUGAAAUGCGUAGAUAUCGGGAAGAACACCAGUGGCGAAGGCGGCUUACUGGCCAGUAACUGACGCUGAGGUGACGAAAGCCGAGGGGGAGCGAACC
rnacentral:rRNA from 1 species